rnacentral:rRNA from 1 species
UGAUUACGUCCCUGCCCUUUGUACACACCGCCCGUCGCUGCCCGGGACUGAGCCAUUUCGAGAAACUUGGGGACUGCUGAUCCGGUGGCUUCGGCCUCCGCUUCGGUGGAAACCAAUUUAAUCGCAGUGGCUUGAACCGGGCAAAAGUCGUAACAAGGUAGCUGUAGGUGAACCUGCUGCUGGAUCAUUACACGUACCGUGAUGGC